GGAAGUAAAAGUUGUAACAAGGUUUCCGUAGGUGAACCUGCGGAAGGAUCAUUAACGAGUAAAGUCCUUCGGGACUUUCUUAUCCAAACACCUGUGAAAAUUAAUUUUUGCUUUGGGAAUUUAAUUAUUCCCAACAAUCAAAACCACUAAGUUGUCUUUUGUCUGAAUGAUUAUUUAAAAAUCAAAGCUUUCAACAACGGAUCUCUUGGUUCUC
rnacentral:misc_RNA from 1 species